rnacentral:lncRNA from 1 species
CAUAAAUACAGUCACGCAAAAUAGAUAUAACAAACACUGACUUAGCAGUUAAAGUAAUAAUAAUAAAUAUAAAAUAAUAGUGUGGUUCAAAGUAUGACGUUAUACAUAAGUACAGAGUCACGUAAAAUGUAUAUCACAAAAAAAGUUGGUUAACAGUAAAAGUAAUAUUAAUGAAUAAAAUAAUUUUGUCAUUCAAAGUAUGACAAGAUACAUAGGUACAGAUUCACAUCAUAAAAUAAUUUUGUCAUUCAAAGUAUGACAAGAUACAUAGGUACAGAGUCACAUCAUAAAAUAAUUUUGUCGUUCAAAGUAUGAUGGGAUGCAUAAGCACAGAGUUACGUCAAAAGGAUAUCUCAAAAAAACAGACAACAGUAAAAGUAAUAUUAAUAAAGACAAAAAAAAGGAAUAAUAUAACACGUAAUUAAGAUGAUAAACAACGUCAGUACGCAA